rnacentral:lncRNA from 1 species
GCGAGCCGGAGAGAGAGCCCGGUCCCAAGACCCGCCGCGCAUCCGACGCCUCCUGAAGAUUGCUCCUGCCUCUGUGACCUAGUCUACCCUAGAAAGGCAUAAUGGAUCCAGGAAGGACUGCAACCUUGGCAUGGAAACACCGAAGCCUGACUUUCUUAGUCUCCCUGCAGCCUAAGGUGCAGGUGGCCACAAUUGGGGCCACCUCCACAACCCUUUUCUCCUCGCAGAUAUAUGAGAUUUAAAUAUGGGGUGGGUGGGGAGGGAGAGAAUGCGUGCUCUUGGAGUUGCAGUCCUGAACAUGACUUGGAUUUUCCUCAGCGCAGAGUCCCGUCUUGCCUCAUGUAUCCCUGGAGGGACACUCGGAAGACAGAAUGCCUCAGUCACGGGGGAAUUCCCAUAGAACCCCUGAGUUCUAUUCUUCAGGCUGAACCGGGCCUGUGGAGCAGAGGGUCGCCCCCUCUGGGAUUUUAAAUCAGACCUCAGAUAGUAUCUGUGAGUCAGCGAGUGAACAAAAAUGCUUUCCAAGACCCAUUAAGUGCUCCAAUAGUUCAUUUCAAGCGCCUCAUCCGGAAAAACGGAUCUCUUUUCAGGAGCUUAAGAGCUGACUUCUUCUUGAGAAACGGUGCCCUGUCUCUACACUGCCAUUCCUAAUGGCUCGUGUCACCAAGAAGGAUUUCUGCCAUUAAAAAACGUUUCCAACAUCUAACCAUCCUAGGCUAGGACUCAUAGAUGAUUUUCACUUGAUUAGGAUCCCAAUCAGGAACGACGGUGAGUGUCACCUGAGAGAUGGAACACCUUUCCACAUAAUUGUGACAGGCUCCGGGCUGAACUUCCCUUUUCCUGUGUUCUGUUGAAAAACGUCCCAUGCCACCUCCUUUCCCCAGAGAGCAAAGAAUCUAUCUGAUACAAAGCCUUGAGAAAUAAUGGUCCAGAUAACCAAUAACCACUCAUUUUUUUUGCUGUUAUUUAUGUGGGGUAUUUUCUUUGGCCCGAUCGUAUAUUAGAGAGUUACAAUGAUUCGUACCAAAUUGUUUAUUGAUCAUGAUUAUGAGAAGGGUAUGAAACGGCUGACAAAUAAAAUAAGCUGGU